rnacentral:rRNA from 1 species
UACGUAGGUGGCGAGCGUUGUCCGGAAUUACUGGGUGUAAAGGGCGUGUAGGCGGGGAUACAAGUCAGAUGUGAAAUACCGAGGCUUAACUUCGGGGCUGCAUCUGAAACUGUGUCUCUUGAGUGUCGGAGAGGAAAGUGGAAUUCCCAGUGUAGCGGUGAAAUGCGUAGAUAUUGGGAGGAACACCAGUGGCGAAGGCGACUUUCUGGCCAGUUACUGACGCUCAUGCGCGAAAGCUGGGGUAGCGAACCGGAUUAGAUACCCGGGUAGUCCCU